UUCUUGGAGAGUUUGAUCCUGGCUCAGGACGAACGCUGGCGGCGUGCCUAAUACAUGCAAGUCGAGCGAAUCUUUGGGAGCUUGCUCCCAUUUGGUUAGCGGCGGACGGGUGAGUAACGCGUGGGGAAUCUGCCUUUGAGCGGGGGACAACAUUUGGAAACGAAUGCUAAUACCGCAUAACAACUUUAAACAUAAGUUUUAAGUUUGAAAGAUGCAAUUGCAUCACUCAAAGAUGAUCCCGCGUUGUAUUAGCUAGUUGGUGAGGUAAAGGCUCACCAAGGCGAUGAUACAUAGCCGACCUGAGAGGGUGAUCGGCCACAUUGGGACUGAGACACGGCCCAAACUCCUACGGGAGGCAGCAGUAGGGAAUCUUCGGCAAUGGACGAAAGUCUGACCGAGCAACGCCGCGUGAGUGAAGAAGGUUUUCGGAUCGUAAAACUCUGUUGGUAGAGAAGAACGUUGGUGAGAGUGGAAAGCUCAUCAAGUGACGGUAACUACCCAGAAAGGGACGGCUAACUACGUGCCAGCAGCCGCGGUAAUACGUAGGUCCCGAGCGUUGUCCGGAUUUAUUGGGCGUAAAGCGAGCGCAGGUGGUUUAUUAAGUCUGGUGUAAAAGGCAGUGGCUCAACCAUUGUAUGCAUUGGAAACUGGUAGACUUGAGUGCAGGAGAGGAGAGUGGAAUUCCAUGUGUAGCGGUGAAAUGCGUAGAUAUAUGGAGGAACACCGGUGGCGAAAGCGGCUCUCUGGCCUGUAACUGACACUGAGGCUCGAAAGCGUGGGGAGCAAAC
rnacentral:ncRNA from 1 species